CAAACAGGAUUAGAUACCUGGUAGUCCACGCUGUAAACGAUGUCGAUUUGGAGGUUGUUCCCUUGAGGAGUGGCUUCCGGAGCUAACGCGUUAAAUCGACCGCCUGGGGAGUACGGCCGCAAGGUUAAAACUCAAAUGAAUUGACGGGGGCCCGCACAAGCGGUGGAGCAUGUGGCUUAAUUUGAUGCAACGCGAAGAACCUUACCUACUCUUGACAUCCAGAGAAUUUAGCAGAGAUGCUUUAGUGCCUUCGGGAACUCUGAGACAGGUGCUGCAUGGCUGUCGUCAGCUCGUGUUGUGAAAUGUUGGGUUAAGUCCCGCAACGAGCGCAACCCUUAUCCUUUGUUGCCAGCACAUUAUGGUGGGAACUCAAAGGAGACUGCCGGUGAUAAACCGGAGGAAGGUGGGGAUGACGUCAAGUCAUCAUGGCCCUUACGAGUAGGGCUACACACGUGCUACAAUGGCGUAUACAAAGAGAAGCGACCUCGCGAGAGCAAGCGGAACUCAUAAAGUACGUCGUAGUCCGGAUUGGAGUCUGCAACACGACUCCAUGAAGUCGGAAUCGCUAGUAAUCGUAGAUCAGAAUGCUACGGUGAAUACGUUCCCGGGCCUUGUACACACCGCCCGUCACACCAUGGGAGUGGGUUGCAAAAGAAGUAGGUAGCUUAACCUUCGGGAGGGCGCUUACCACUUUGUGAUUCAUGACUGGGGUGAAGUCGUAACAAGGUAACCA
rnacentral:rRNA from 1 species